rnacentral:rRNA from 1 species
CAAAACGACUCUCGGCAACGGAUAUCUCGGCUCUCGCAUCGAUGAAGAACGUAGCGAAAUGCGAUACUUGGUGUGAAUUGCAGAAUCCCGUGAACCAUCGAGUCUUUGAACGCAAGUUGCGCCCGAAGCCUUCGGGUCGAGGGCACGUCUGCCUGGGUGUCAUGC